GACGAACGCUGGCGGCGUGCUUAACACAUGCAAGUCGAACGGACAGACCCUGCUUUUGUGGGGUGCUCGAGUGGCGAACGGGUGAGUAACACGUGAGUAACCUGCCCUUGUCUUUGGGAUAACUUCAGGAAACUGGGGCUCAUACCGGAUAGGAGCUCCUGAUGCAUGGUGGGGGUUGGAAAGUUUCGGCGGUUGGGGAUGGACUCGCGGCUUAUCAGCUUGUUGGUGGGGUAGUGGCUUACCAAGGCUUUGACGGGUAGCCGGCCUGAGAGGGUGACCGGCCACAUUGGGACUGAGAGACGGCCCAGACUCCUACGGGAGGCAGCAGUGGGGAAUAUUGCACAAUGGGCGGACGCCUGAUGCAGCAACGCCGCGUGCGGGAUGACGGCCUUCGGGUUGUAAACCGCUUUCGCCUGUGACGAAGCGUGAGUGACGGUAAUGGGUAAAGAAGCGCCGGCUAACUACGUG
rnacentral:rRNA from 1 species